UUGAUCCUGGCUCAGGACGAACGCUGGCGGCGUGCUUACACAUGCAAGUCUACGAGAAAGUUGCAUUUAUGUAGCGAGUAAAGUGGCGCAAGGGUGAGUAACACGUAAGCAAUCUGCCCUUAGGUUUGGAAUAACGGCGAGAAAUUGCCGCUAAUACCGUAUGAUGCAGCGGCACCGCAUGGUGAUGUUGUUAAAGUUGCUUCGGUAACGCCUGAGGAUGAGCUUGCGUCUGAUUAGUUAGUUGGUGAGGUAACGGCUCACCAAGGCUUCGAUCAGUAGCUGGUCUGAGAGGAUGAUCAGUCACACUGGAACUGAGACACGGUCCAGACUCCUACGGGAGGCAGCAGUGAGGAAUAUUGGGCAAUGCCCGCAAGGGUGACCCAGCAACGCCGCGUGGAGGAUGAAGGUCGUAAGAUCGUAAACUCCUUUUAGAGGGGAUGAAAGACUACAAUUCGCAAGGGUUGUGGUUUGACCGUACCCUCAGAAAAAGCCCCGGCUAACUACGUGCCAGCAGCCGCGGUAAUACGUAGGGGGCAAGCGUUGUCCGGAUUUACUGGGUGUAAAGGGCGCGCAGGCGGGUUUGCAAGUCAGAGGUGAAAUCCUGCAGCUUAACUGUAGAACUGCCUUUGAAACUGUGAACCUUGAAUUCAGAAGAGAGAAGUGGAAUUCCAGGUGUAGUGGUGAAAUACGUAGAUAUCUGGAAGAACAUCAGUGGCGAAGGCGACUUCUUGGUCUGUAACUGACGCUGAGGCACGAAGGCUGGGGGAGCGAACAGGAUUAGAUACCCUGGUAGUCCCAGCAGUAAACGGUGUGAGCUUGAUGUGGGGGGAUUCGACCCCUUCCGUGUCGAAGCUAACGCGAUAAGCUCACCGCCUGGGAAGUACGGCCGCAAGGCUAAAACUCAAAGAAAUUGACGGGGACCCGCACAAGCGGUGGAGUAUGUGGCUUAAUUCGAUGCAACGCGAAGAACCUUACCUGGCCUUGACAUGCAUCUCUAAGCCGGUGAAAGCCGGUGAAUUUGCCGAAAGGUAAAUAAUUUGCACAGGUGCUGCAUGGCUGUCGUCAGCUCGUGUCGUGAGAUGUUGGGUUAAGUCCCGCAACGAGCGCAACCCCUGUGGUUAGUUGUCAUCACGUAAUGGUGGACCCUCUAGCCAGACUGCCCUGUUCAACGGGGAGGAAGGUGGGGACGACGUCAAGUCAGUAUGGCCCUUAUGGCCAGGGCUGCACACGUACUACAAUGCACGGUACAAUGUGAACCAAGACCGCGAGGUGGAGGAAAUCUAACAAAACCGUGCCCAGUUCGGAUCGCAGGCUGCAACUCGCCUGCGUGAAGUUGGAAUCGCUAGUAAUGGCGCAUCAGCUACGGCGCCGUGAAUACGUUCCCGGGUCUUGUACACACCGCCCGUCACAUCAUGGAAGUCGCUUGUACCCGAAGUGCCCGUUGCCAACCCUUGUGGAGGCAGGGCCCGAAGGUAUGGGCGGUAACUGGGAUGAAG
rnacentral:rRNA from 1 species